UACGUAGGGGGCAAGCGUUGUCCGGAUUUAUUGGGCGUAAAGAGCGUGUAGGCGGCUUUACAGGUCCGUUGUGAAAACUCGAGGCUCAACCUCGAGACGCCGGUGGAAACCGUAAAGCUAGAGUCCGGAAGAGGAGAGUGGAAUUCCUGGUGUAGCGGUGAAAUGCGCAGAUAUCAGGAGGAACGCCGGUGGCGAAGGCGGGUCUCUGGGCCGAUACUGACGCUGAGGAGCGAAAGCGUGGGGAGCAAACAGG
rnacentral:rRNA from 1 species